rnacentral:rRNA from 1 species
UACAGAGGUCUCAAGCGUUGUUCGGAUUCAUUGGGCGUAAAGGGUGCGUAGACGGUUACAUAAGUCGGGUGUGAAAGCCCCGGGCUCAACCUGGGAAUUGCAUUCGAGACUGCGUAGCUAGGGUGCGGAAGAGGGAAGCGGAAUUUCCGGUGUAGCGGUGAAAUGCGUAGAUAUCGGAAGGAACACCAGUGGCGAAAGCGGCUUCCUGGUCCAGCACCGACGUUCAGGCACGAAAGCGUGGGGAGCAAACAGG